CUACGGAGGGGGUUAGCGUUGUUCGGAAAUACUGGGCGUAAAGCGUACGUAGGCGGACUGAUCAGUUGGGGGUGAAAUCCCAGGGCUUAACCCUGGAACUGCCUUCAAUACUGUCAGUCUUGAGAUUGGAAGAGGUGAGUGGAAUUCCUAGUGUAGAGGUGAAAUUCAUAGAUAUUAGGAGGAACACCAGUGGCGAAGGCGGCUCACUGGUCCAAUACUGACGCUGAGGUACGAAAGCGUGGGGAGCAAACAGGAUUAGAAACCCCAGUAGUCC
rnacentral:rRNA from 1 species